rnacentral:misc_RNA from 1 species
CAGGGUCUAACGACUGCCCAAACCAAACCGUGAACGUUUUUCCACAAAAACAUAUGCUGCGGCGGACCGACUCGCUGGGGGAGUCGCGUUCGCCGGUCCACACUGGUGGUCCGCCGGAGCAUUCCCAUCGUAAGAUCAAACAUUUUGAAAUAUUCUGAGGAAGAUUUUGAUUCGAAAGAACAAAUAAAUCA